GUCAGAAUGGCUUAGCGGUCUAAGGCGCUGCGCUCAGGUCGCAGCGCUGGUCCCAUUGGAGGCGUGGGUUCAAAUCCCACUUCUGACA